CAAGAUUCUCUUGAAUUUUGUAUUUAUGCUUCAAUUUGCCUUCAUUCUCUUCAUUACUUCAAUCUCUUCAAGUAAGUUCCUCCCUCCUCAUCCAUGUGUCUCCCUUUCUCUCUGUCCCUCUCUAUCUCACACUGGAGCUCCAUCAAUAAACCUAGGCCUCCUGUAAUGAAUGCAACAUUUCAAACUCCUCUCGUCAAAUUAUAUUUCUGUUAAAUAUAGAUUUAAUUUUGUUUUUAA